GUCGUCGUUCUUCUUCCUACUUCGUCGCAGCAGCGAAUCAACAUGAUCUCCAACGUGGCCUCCAGAAGGUUCCUCCUGCCCGCGCUCCGUCGUGUGCGCGCCCGGGUGACCUGUCGUGACAUCCACGUGGACGGGCCGCCGAUCGCUCCCGCGCUGACCACCAGCUACGCCCACGGCACGUCUUCCUUCUCGCUCCUGGACGCCACCGUGGGCGAGGCGCUGACGCGGGCGGCCGACGCCUGGCCCGACAGGGAGGCCGCCGUCUUCGCGGAGGACGGCGUGAGGAAGACCUUCGCCGACUUUCACCGAGACGCGGAGCGGGCCGCCGCCGGCCUGCUGGCGCUGGGCCUGCGGCCGGGCGAGCGCCUGGGCAUCUGGGGGCCCAACACCUACGAGUGGCUCCUGUUCCAGUUCGCCACGGCCAAGGCGGGCAUCAUCAUGGUCUCCGUCAACCCCGCCUAUCGUCCGGAGGAGGCGGAGUUUGCGCUCAGGAAGGUGGGCUGUAAAGCAUUGGUGUGUCCCACGGCCUUCAAGAGCCAAAAUUACUGCGACAUGCUGCGCCUCAUCUGUCCGGAAAUUCCUUCCUGCCCGCCCGGAGACAUCCGCAGCGGCCGACUUCCCGACCUGCGCUCGGUCAUCGUCCUGGACAGCCGGCAGGACGGGAUGUUCCACGCGGACGACGUGAUGGCGGCGGGCGACGGCCGCUCCUUGCGCCGACUGCACGAGCUACAAAAGAGCAUUUGCUGCGACGGUCCCAUCAACGUCCUCUUUACGUCGGGAACGACGGGUCGGCCCAAAGGCGCCACGCUGACUCAUCGCAACGUGGUCAACAACGCCUUCUUCGUGGGCAAGCGCAUGGGAUUCGACUGGCGGCCCCGCACGCGAAUCUGCCUCCCCGUGCCGCUCUACCACUGCUUCGGCUCGGUGGGCGGCGGCGUCUGCAUGGCCGUCCACGGCGUCACGCUGGUCUUCCCUUCGCCGGCGUACAGCGGGCGGCGCAACCUGGCCGCCAUGCAGGACGAGAAGUGCACCUUUGUGUACGGGACGCCCACCAUGUUCGUGGACAUGAUCAGCCAGCCCGACGUGCGCAAGUACGAUCUUUCGUCCGUUGUCGGAGGUGAGGACGUACGGACCGAAGGGAUUCCGCCGCUUUUGCCGCAGCUCGUCGGCUUUUGGAAAUGGCCAACGAGUCGCUUUCCGUGUUUGCGCAGGCGUCAUGGCGGGCUCGCCGUGUCCUCCCGAGCUGGUUCAGAGCGUCAUUUCCGUCUUGGGCAUCCAGGAAGUGACGAUCGGAUACGGAACCACGGAGAACAGUCCCGUCACCUUUUGCGGCUCGCCGCUGGACAACCUCCGCAGAAAGUGCCGCACGGUCGGCUACGUCAUGGAACACACCGAGGCCAAGAUCGUGGACCCGGCGAGCGGGCGGACGGUUCCGUUGGGUCGUUCGGGCGAGAUCCUGAUCCGGGGCUACUGCGUCAUGAGGGGUUACUGGAACGACCCGGACAAGACCCGCGAGUGCAUCGGAGAGGACGGCUGGUACAAAACCGGGGACAUCGGCAGCUUGGACGCGUUCGGCUACUGUCGCAUCCAAGGUCGCAUCAAGGACAUGAUCAUCAGAGGAGGCGAAAACGUCUACCCCGCCGAAAUCGAACACUUUCUACACACGCACCCUAAAAUACAGGAAGUGCAGGUGAGCGCUCCGCCGCCGUCUCGUUUAUAGCGUCGCACCGAUACGACACUAAAAUGACGCCGUCGCUAUCGUGGGGUCCUAAGAAAUCAUCUGUUCUUCUGUUUCUGCUACGAAUUGAAAUGAGUUUAUCACGAGUAGACGUCGGAUCCGUUCGAUUCAGGACGGCGGCCCUCCCGCUUCAAAUGGAUGGGACGACCGCGGCACUGAAUGAGUUGAACGGUGUCGGACCAAACAUCGAUAGCGAUGGCUUUACGGUUAAGCGACGGACGAUGUAGUCAUUUACCAGUUACAAAUGGAUAUUUUGAUAUGGAAAUGUGGUCGGCGUGUCGGACGCACGCAUGGGCGAAGAGAUUUGCGCCUGCGUCAAAGUGAAGGACGACGCCGAGUUGAGCCAGGAAGAGGUCAAGACUUUCUGCGGAGGAAAGGUU